rnacentral:rRNA from 1 species
GACGAACGCUGGCGGCGUGCCUAAUACAUGCAAGUUGAGCGCUGAAGGUUGGUACUUGUACCGACUGGAUGAGCAGCGAACGGGUGAGUAACGCGUGGGGAAUCUGCCUUUGAGCGGGGGACAACAUUUGGAAACGAAUGCUAAUACCGCAUAAAAACUUUAAACACAAGUUUUAAGUUUGAAAGAUGCAAUUGCAUCACUCAAAGAUGAUCCCGCGUUGUAUUAGCUAGUUGGUGAGGUAAAGGCUCGCCAAGGCGAUGAUACAUAGCCGACCUGAGAGGGUGAUCGGCCACAUUGGGACUGAGACACGGCCCAAACUCCUACGGGAGGCAGCAGUAGGGAAUCUUCGGCAAUAGACGAAAGUCUGACCGAGCAACGCCGCGUGAGUGAAGAAGGUUUUCGGAUCGUAAAACUCUGUUGGUAGAGAAGAACGUUGGUGAGAGUGGAAAGCUCAUCAAGUGACGGUAACUACCCAGAAAGGGACGGCUAACUACGUG